rnacentral:rRNA from 1 species
GACGAAUGCUGGCGGCGUGCCUAAUACAUGCAAGUUGAGCGAUGAAGAUUGGUGCUUGCACCAAUUUGAAGAGCAGCGAACGGGUGAGUAACGCGUGGGGAAUCUGCCUUUGAGCGGGGGACAACAUUUGGAAACGAAUGCUAAUACCGCAUAACAACUUUAAACAUAAGUUUUAAGUUUGAAAGAUGCAAUUGCAUCACUCAAAGAUGAUCCCGCGUUGUAUUAGCUAGUUGGUGAGGUAAAGGCUCACCGAGGCGAUGAUACAUAGCCGACCUGAGAGGGCGAUCGGCCACAUUGGGACUGAGACACGGUCCAAACUCCUACGGGAGGCAGCAGUAGGGAAUCUUCGGCAAUGGACGAAAGUCUGACCGAGCAACGCCGCGUGAGUGAAGAAGGUUUUCGGAUCGUAAAACUCUGUUGGUAGAGAAGAACGUUGGUGAGAGUGGAAAGCUCAUCAAGUGACGGUAACUACCCAGAAAGGGACGGCUAACUACGUGCCAGCCGCCGCCGUAA